UGGGCACAGUUAAUGAUUGUCAGGGACCAGAGAUCCACAGCUUCUUCCUGCAUGGUGUGGAAAGGGACAGUCGAAUGUGAGCCGAGGCUUAUUAGGGCUGGCAGCAGAUGAAAAAAGGGGCCUUCCUGUUCCAUGAGGCAGCGCCUCCACCGCUCUGGAGACCCAUACAGAUUACAUCAAACAUAGAUGAGGCUGGCCGGCCUGGCAUGGUGCAUUACCCAAUGCUCGGUAUUUGCUGGCAUGUGAGAGCCUUAUAUAAACAGAGUAAGAUAAACUGGGACUUAGCUUACGCAUAGGUUAACUACAAGACAAUGAGAACAAUGUACAGAAACCCAGUAGGUCUUCACACAGCUUGAGGGCUGUGGGAUGAACCUCCUCAGAGGCCAGACUGAGAUUAUGUUCAAAAUGGAAAAAAAGAGAGAAGUGAAGGCCACUUUGGCCCUAUCCUACAGCCCUCACUGGUCACGUGACAGGCCCUGUCUCUUCCUAAUGAGAAAAACACAGCAUGUAGGGACAGUCUUUGUGCUUUUAUUUUUAGCACCUCUGGUUCCUUUAAGGAUGGUCCUGGGGGUGAUAUGGGGGCCCCAGGGUAUGUGCCAGCAGCAGGAAUGGUGCUGACCAUAAGUGUCCGCAGUCAUAGCCUCUCUGCUGGCUCUUGUUCUUGUCUCACUCUGACACAGGUGGUGACAUUAACAACCCAGUGCUAAGUUUGUACUGACUGUCUCUAGGAAAAGGCAGGGACCAGCAAAACAGGCUCCAGAAAGCCCCACUUGGUGUGUUUCUGCACCCUCUAGUGGCCGAUGAAUGAGCUGCAGCACCCUAAGGCUGCCAGCUCAAGGGACAGGCUGAACUCUGCUGAAAUGUUCUGUCGGUGGACAUUCCGUCCCUUUCAAAGAAAUAUUCCAUUUUUAAGAUGUGGUCUAGGGUUGAGGGCGUGGCUUAGUGUGGGGUACUUGCCUAGUAGGCACAAGGUCUGGGUUACAUUCCAAAAGCAAAAAACAAAACAAAACAAGGAACUUCCCUUUGUUUUGGUGCUCUAAGUGGACGGAGUUUGCAAGCCUCUGCACAGGCCGGGACACAAAGACCAGGUUGGUGUCCACGACAAUUGAGGUCUGGUCAGUACUGACCGAGGGUUUUCUCGUGUGCGCCUGAGUAACACACAUGUAAACAGGCAUGCACGCAGCUGCAGGCUCCCAGAACACUGUUCUAGGUGAGGUGUCUGGGCUGUGGCCGGAGGCCAAGGCUUUUGCUGCUCCUAAAUCAGGGUGCUUAGAACACGGCCAUCAAUGUUAAUACUCGGGCCACUGCACGUGGUCUUGGGUGUUGGGAACACAGGACAGCGAUGGGGCAUGCCUUCGCCUCCUCCUCACUUCCAGCACGACAACAGGAAUCAAUGCCAUCUGUCCUGCUCCGAGAAGCCAUCUGGGGGCCCCUAGCCUGGAACGUGAGUGCUCCUAUGAUCUCGCCCAACUGACCUACAACGUUCCCACUAGCAACUCUGCUGUGAAACCAUCAAAGGGCAGCACAGCCGACACCGCAGGAAGCUGUUGACCUCGGUGGCUGAGGGACACACCGUGGGUGGAGAACGAAGGAACCCAGGGCCUUUGGCAUACGUGCUCUAGGCAUGUGCUCUACCACUGAGCUAUACCCUCAAUCCCAGUCUGCUCUUUUGAGAAUUCCAUAAAUGCCAGGCUCGCUGGAGUGGAGGAGCUACGGUGCUGGGAACUCCAGUCACCCGUGGCCCCCAGGGGACCCCUGUUGGUGGAAGUCUGCUUCGCAUCUUACUAGCUUCCAGGCCUUGGCACAGGGUUGGUCUGUAGCUCUUUGACAAACAUAUGAUGCAGAGCCUGACAUGGGAACAUUUGGAGGUCCCAGGAAGCAGCCUGGAAAUCCUAGGCCAACCCAUGCCCCGGGGUGGUUCCUGCCGUGAGCUUCUACCAGAAGGCCACACGUUCACACUCGAACCUGCUGGGAUCUCGGCUGUGCAAUGGGUCUCUGUUAUGUUACCUCCUCACGGAAGACAGUCCUCUGACAGACUGUGACGGUGCACACAGACGGAAGCACUGGGUCAGAAAGGCAAGGCCAUUUUCACAUGGUGACACCAAGGCCAACCUGAGCUCCCUCAACAGGCCAAAUCAAAGAACAGAACAAAAAGAAAACCAAAAGAAGAGCCCCUCCUCCAUUUCCAUCUUUCCACACAUCAGUUGACACAGAUGUCACUGGCUGAGUGUCCCCAAGCCAAAACUUUCAGCUCUGAAAAUGCUCUGAAAGCCUAAGUGUUUAUCAAUGACUGCCAAAGCCUCUGUACUGGCAGCUGAUGCCUGAAAAGUGGACCAUGGCCCCCGGGGCCAAACUCUGCUUGUUACCCACCUCUGUAAACAGGACUGGAACAUGCCACCGCUUUUAAUUUGUCCUGUGCCUGGGAACUUCAGAGAAAGCUGAGCUGCUGCAGCAGCCACUGCCUGCCUGCAAAGCCUCACGUGUUUACUGCUGGCUCCUGCAGUGACUCAGAGUUCUUCAAAAGAUGUAUUUGUAAGCUUGUUUAUGAGCUUUGAUAUUAUUUAAAUAUUUAAAUUUACUCAUUUAAAUAAAAAUAAAAUUUAUGGGCAUGACAAUUUUGUCAAUAAAGGCCAGA